GACGUAGGGUGCGAGCGUUUGUCCGGAAUUAUUGGGCGUAAAGAGCUCGUAGGCGGUUCGUCGCGUCGGCUGUGAAAUCCCGAGGCUCAACCUCGGGUCUGCAGUCGAUACGGGCGGACUGGAGUUCGGCAGGGGGAGACUGGAAUUCCUGGUGUAGCGGUGAAAUGCGUAGAGAUCGGCAGGAACGACCCAGGGGGAAACCAGGUCGACUGGGCAUCGUACUGGACGCUGAGGUGCGAGAGCGUGGGGAGCGAACCGGAUUGAGAUACCCGGUGAUAG
rnacentral:rRNA from 1 species